AGAAUGUUUUGUAUUGCACAGGAUAUUUUUAUAUUGAAGCAUAUUGAAGUGUAUCUGGGAACUGAGCAAUCCCAAAUUGUGGAGAUCCUUGUGGACAGCAUGAAUCCGCCUCCUGGGUGGGUAAGGAGAGCUGGGCAGAAAAAUUGGUGUGUGAACUCUGCCAACAUCGAUGACACUGAAAUAUCUCCUGUAAUAGAGGAAGCUCAGCAAAGCAGUGGAUCUCCCAGCCAGCCAGAGAAGGAUUUGAAGGCGUCUUUCAAGUGUUGAUGGUAACGCCUCUUUGUGCUGUUCCAGUAAGGAUGGUCACUGGAAAUUCUUCUGGGAAAAACUGUCCAGAUCACCUGAAAAUCUGGGAAGAAUUCAGACAACUGGAGAACCCGGGGUGCUUUAUUCAGCUAGAAGUUGUGUGAAGAUCUAAAAUGAGG